rnacentral:rRNA from 1 species
GAUGAACGCUGGCGGCGUGCCUAAUACAUGCAAGUCGAGCGAACAGACGAGGAGCUUGCUCCUCUGACGUUAGCGGCGGACGGGUGAGUAACACGUGGAUAACCUACCUAUAAGACUGGGAUAACUUCGGGAAACCGGAGCUAAUACCGGAUAACACGUUGAACCGCAUGGUUCAACAGUGAAAGACGGUCUUGCUGUCACUUAUAGAUGGAUCCGCGCCGCAUUAGCUAGUUGGUAAGGUAACGGCUUACCAAGGCAACGAUGCGUAGCCGACCUGAGAGGGUGAUCGGCCACACUGGAACUGAGACACGGUCCAGACUCCUACGGGAGGCAGCAGUAGGGAAUCUUCCGCAAUGGGCGAAAGCCUGACGGAGCAACGCCGCGUGAGUGAAGAAGGUCUUCGGAUCGUAAAACUCUGUUAUUAGGGAAGAACAAAUGUGUAAGUAACUAUGCACGUCUUGACGGUACCUAAUCAGAAAGCCACGGCUAACUACGUG